AAAAAAGUAAAAAAAUUAGGUAGUAAUAGCUGUCUUGAAACUUAAAAGAUUUGGCGGUGUUUUAAGCUUAUCAGAGGAAUCUGUUUUUUAAUCGACAAUACCCGACAAAUCUUACUUAUAUUGUAAGUUUGUAUAUCGUUGUAAUAAUAAUGUUGUAUAAUUAUUAUUGAAGGUAAUUUUAUUUUUAACAUCAGAUCAAGGUUCAGCUUAUAUUUAAGUAAAAAAUGGAUUACAAUAUAAAUAUAUAUACUAACGGAUUUUGUUAUUAAAUAAUAAAUGAAGGUGGAUUUGAAAGUAUUUUUAUAUUAAUAUGUUAAAUUGAAUUAGCUCUAAAAUAUGC
rnacentral:rRNA from 1 species